rnacentral:rRNA from 1 species
ACACAUGCAAGUCGAACGCUGAAGCCAGAAGCUUGCUUCUGGUGGAUGAGUGGCGAACGGGUGAGUAACACGUGAGUAACCUGCCCCUGAUUUCGGGAUAAGCCUGGGAAACCGGGUCUAAUACCGGAUACGACCAUCCCUCGCAUGAGGGUUGGUGGAAAGUUUUUCGAUCGGGGAUGGGCUCGCGGCCUAUCAGCUUGUUGGUGGGGUAAUGGCCUACCAAGGCGACGACGGGUAGCCGGCCUGAGAGGGCGACCGGCCACACUGGGACUGAGACACGGCCCAGACUCCUACGGGAGGCAGCAGUGGGGAAUAUUGCACAAUGGGGGAAACCCUGAUGCAGCGACGCAGCGUGCGGGAUGACGGCCUUCGGGUUGUAAACCGCUUUCAGCAGGGAAGAAGCGUAAGUGACGGUACCUGCAGAAGAAGUACCGGCUAACUACGUGCCAGCAGCCGCGGUAAUACGUAGGGUACGAGCGUUGUCCGGAAUUAUUGGGCGUAAAGAGCUCGUAGGUGGUUGGUCACGUCUGCUGUGGAAACGCAACGCUUAACGUUGCGCGUGCAGUGGGUACGGGCUGACUAGAGUGCAGUAGGGGAGUCUGGAAUUCCUGGUGUAGCGGUGAAAUGCGCAGAUAUCAGGAGGAACACCGGUGGCGAAGGCGGGACUCUGGGCUGUAACUGACACUGAGGAGCGAAAGCAUGGGGAGCGAACAGGAUUAGAU